UAUUAUGGUGAGCUGGGUAUAGGGCUGACUUUGUCAGGCUGCAACCUGUGGUGCGGUAGUUCCAAACCUUGCUCAGUUCACCACCUCU
rnacentral:misc_RNA from 1 species